rnacentral:rRNA from 1 species
GACGAACGCUGGCGGCGUGCCUAAUACAUGCAAGUAGAACGCUGAAGGAAGGAGCUUGCUCUUUCCGGAUGAGUUGCGAACGGGUGAGUAACGCGUAGGUAACCUGCCUGGUAGCGGGGGAUAACUAUUGGAAACGAUAGCUAAUACCGCAUAAUAGUAGAUAUCGCAUGAUAACUACUUGAAAGGUGCAAUUGCACCACUACCAGAUGGACCUGCGUUGUAUUAGCUAGUUGGUGAGGUAACGGCUCACCAAGGCAACGAUACAUAGCCGACCUGAGAGGGUGAUCGGCCACACUGGGACUGAGACACGGCCCAGACUCCUACGGGAGGCAGCAGUAGGGAAUCUUCGGCAAUGGACGGAAGUCUGACCGAGCAACGCCGCGUGAGUGAAGAAGGUUUUCGGAUCGUAAAGCUCUGUUGUAAGAGAAGAACGAGUGUGAGAGUGGAAAGUUCACACUGUGACGGUAUCUUACCAGAAAGGGACGGCUAACUACGUGCCAGCAGCCGCGGUAAUACGUAGGUCCCGAGCGUUGUCCGGAUUUAUUGGGCGUAAAGCGAGCGCAGGCGGUUAGAUAAGUCUGAAGUUAAAGGCUGUGGCUUAACCAUAGUACGCUUUGGAAACUGUUUAACUUGAGUGCAAGAGGGGAGAGUGGAAUUCCAUGUGUAGCGGUGAAAUGCGUAGAUAUAUGGAGGAACACCGGUGGCGAAAGCGGCUCUCUGGCUUGUAACUGACGCUGAGGCUCGAAAGCGUGGGGAGCAAACAGG